rnacentral:rRNA from 1 species
AGAGUUUGAUCCUGGCUCAGGGUGAACGCUGGCGGCGUGUCUUAGUCAUGCAAGUCCAACCCCCACACUCAAAGCGCGGUUUCUAAAAGAAAAUUCGCUUUGAGUGUGGGGAUGGCAACCGGGUGAGUAACACGUUGGUAAUCUAUACCUUUCUCGAGAAUAACCCCGCGAAAGCGGGAGCAAUACUCGAUGAGAGUGAGGGGACGAAAGUCAUUCUCACUUAAAGUUUUAUCGGAAAGGGAAGAGCCUACGUCCGAUUAGCUAGUUGGUAGGGUAACGGCCUACCAAGGCGAUGAUCGGUAGGGGACCCGAGAGGGUGUACCCCCACACUGGCACUGAAAUACGGGCCAGACUCCUACGGGAGGCUGCAGAUAAGAAUAUUGCGCAAUGGUCUAACGACUGACGCAGCGACGCCGCGUGACUGAUGAAGCCCUUCGGGGUGUAAAGGUCUUUUCUCAGGGAAAAAUAAAUGAUGGUACCUGAGGAAUAAGAGGUUGCUAACUCUGUGCCAGCAGCAGCGGUAAUACAGAGACCUCAAGCGUUACCCGGAAUUAUUGGGCGUAAAGCGUCCGCAGGCGGUGGGUUAAGUCAGGCAUUAAAUUCCGAAGCUUAACUUCGGAGCUGUGUUUGAAACUAAUCCACUAGAGACAAGGAGAGGCACACGGAAUUCCCGGUGUAGGGGUUACAUCCGUUAAUAUCGGGGAGAACACCAUUUGCGAAGGCGGUGUGCUAGACUUGUUCUGACGCUCAGGGACGAAAGCGUGGGUAGCGAAUGGAAUUAGAUACUCCAGUAGUCCACGCCCUAAACUUUGAAUACUUGACUUGAGGAGUUCGACCCUCCUUGAGCCUGAAGCUAACGCUUUAAGUAUUCCGCCUGGGAAGUACGGCCGCAAGGCUAAAACUCAAAGGAAUUGACGGGGACCCGCACAAGCGGUGGAGCAUAUGGUUUAAUUCGUAGAUAAGCGUAGAACCUUACCAGGGCUUGACAUGCUACUGCAAAUCCUAUGAAAGUAGGACUCCUUCGAGGGUGUAGCACAGGUGCUGCAUGGCUGUCGUCAGCUCGUGUCGUGAGAUGUUGGGUUAAGUCCUCUAACGAGCGCAACCCCUGUGAUAUGUUAAAUUUUCAUAUCAGACCGCCCCGGUAUAACGGGGAGGAAGGUGGGGAUGACGUCAAGUCAGCAUGGCCCUUACGUCUAGGGCGACACGUAUGCUACAAUGGGAAAUACAAAGAGACGCAAAGUCGUAAGACGGAGCUAAUCUCAUCAAAAUUUCUCUCAGUUCGGAUUGGGGGCUGCAACUCGCCCCCAUGAAGCCGGAAUCGCUAGUAACCGUAGGUCAGCCACACUACGGUGAAUACGUUCUCGGGUCUUGUACACACCGCCCGUCAGUUCAGAAAAGCUGGUAGUACCCGAAAAUCACUCGCAAGAGUGGGCUAAGGUAAGACCAGUAAUUAGGAAUAAGUCGUAACAAGGCAUCCGUAGCGGAAGCUGUGGAUG